rnacentral:rRNA from 1 species
UAAUCUGGCACCUUCGGUGUCCGAGUUGUAAUCUCUAGAAGUGUUUUCCGCGUUGGACCGCACACAAGUCUGUUGGAAUACAGCGGCAUAGUGGUGAAACCCCCGUAUAUGGUGCGGACGCCCAGCGCUUUGUGAUACACUUUCAAUGAGUCGAGUUGUUUGGGAAUGCAGCUCAAAUUGGGUGGUAAAUUCCAUCUAAAGCUAAAUAUUGGCGAGAGACCGAUAGCGAACAAGUACCGUGAGGGAAAGAUGAAAAGCACUUUGGAAAGAGAGUUAACAGUACGUGAAAUUGUUGGAAGGGAAACGCUUGAAGUCAGACUUGCUUGCCGGAGCUUGCUUCGGUUUGCAGGCCAGCAUCAGUUUUCCGGGGUGGAUAAUGACGGUUUGAAGGUAGCAGUCUCGGCUGUGUUAUAGCUUUCCGUUGGAUACGCCCUGGGGGACUGAGGAACGCAGCGUGCUUUUUGCGAAAGACUCGUCUUUUUCACGCUUAGGAUGCUGGUGGAAUGGCUUUAAACGACCCGUCUUGAAACACGGACCA